rnacentral:rRNA from 1 species
UCCAGCCAUGCCGCGUGAGUGACGAAGGCCCUAGGGUUGUAAAGCUCUUUUGGCGGGGACGAUAAUGACGGUACCCGCAGAAUAAGCUCCGGCUAACUUCGUGCCAGCAGCCGCGGUAAUACGAAGGGAGCUAGCGUUGUUCGGAAUUACUGGGCGUAAAGCGCACGCAGGCGGUCUGUCAAGUCGGAUGUGAAAUCCCCGGGCUUAACCUGGGAACUGCAUUCGAAACUGGCAGGCUAGAGUCUUGUAGAGGGGGGUAGAAUUCCAGGUGUAGCGGUGAAAUGCGUAGAGAUCUGGAGGAAUACCGGUGGCGAAGGCGGCCCCCUGGACAAAGACUGACGCUCAGGUGCGAAAGCGUGGGGAGCAAACAGGAUUAGAUACCCUGGUAGUCCACGCCGUAAACGAUGUCGAUUUGGAGGUUGUGCCCUUGAGGCGUGGCUUCCGGAGCUAACGCGUUAAAUCGACCGCCUGGGGAGUACGGCCGCAAGGUUAAAACUCAAAUGAAUUGACGGGGGCCCGCACAAGCGGUGGAGCAUGUGGUUUAAUUCGAUGCAACGCGAAGAACCUUACCUGGUCUUGACAUCCACAGAACUUUCCAGAGAUGGAUUGGUGCCUUCGGGAACUGUGAGACAGGUGCUGCAUGGCUGUCGUCAGCUCGUGUUGUGAAAUGUUGGGUUAAGUCCCGCAACGAGCGCAACCCUUAUCCUUUGUUGCCAGCGG